UGUACCUUUAUCACUGCCACCUGAGAAAAAAAUGAGACUCUAUCUCUUUCGUGCACUGUUCAUAUAUGUCUUCAAGCUCGCCUUAAACGCUUCUCAAGGAACGGUCUUGGAGCCCUUUUGUCCAGUUGUGAACGGCUCGGGGACGCUAUGCGUGAACCGCACUUUAAACCCCGAGCUAUGCAAAUGUAAGACGCCAUUGGACGUUGCAAAAGCCCAUU